AAUAUUGCGCAAUGGAGGGAACUCUGACGCAGCGACGCCGCGUGAGCGAUGAAGGUUUUCGGAUCGUCCAGCUCUGUCCUUGGGGAAGAAGGUCUUCGGACUUGACGGUACCCAAGAAGAAAGCCCCGGCCAACUACUUGCCAGCAGCCGCGGUAAUACGUAGGGGGCAAGCGUUGUCCGGAAUUAUUGGGCGUAAAGGGUGCGUAGGCGGCCUUUUAAGUCAGAUGUGAAAGCCCACGGCUCAACCGUGGAGGGUCAUUGGAAACUGGGAAGCUUGAGUGCAGAAGAGGAGAGUGGAAUUCCAUGUGUAGCGGUGAAAUGCGUAGAGAUAUGGAGGAACACCAGUGGCGAAGGCGACUCUCUGGUCUGCAACUGACGCUGAGGCGCGAAAGCGUGGGGAGCGAACA
rnacentral:rRNA from 1 species